AGAUAUAGCACAAUGGCAAUGAGUCUUCUCAGAAGGGUUGCAAAUCCAACAAGAAAGGCAAAUUUUAAUCUUCUGUUAACCUCACUUCUGUUAUUGAUUUCUCCAGUGUUUUUAAAAGAAGGGAAGAGAAGAACCAAAAGCAAUAUGUGAUAGAAAUCUCAUUAUUUCAACAGAAUUCAACCCCACAAUUCUAUAGAACCUGGUGAGUUUGGAGUGCACCUUAAAUGUAGGAAGCUUCCCGAACCCACAAAAUCUGACCACUCAGGCGGUGAACAGGGUGAACAGAGUAGAGCUGACGGAGAAACAAGAUAAUACACUUUGGAGAGAGAGUGAUCCCCAGCACUGGACACCAGCCAGCACCUUGUGCCGCAGCCACAGGGAACAGCCCCAGUGUACCCAGAGCACUGGUUUCAGCAGAUGGGUAAGAUGUAGAGGCAAGGGGAGAGCCUGGGUUGCAGCACCACCAUUUUCUUCCCACACCCUCCCUCUGCUCCCUCACCUUUCCAAACAAAGCUCUAAUUUCCAGUGACUUUAGAGCAAGCGGUGCCUUGGCCUCAGCCAGAAGCUGGCCUAGGGCUCACCUGAACUUUCUGCUUGCAUCCCUGGAGCUGUAAAGCUGCCACCUCAAGUUUACCCAAAGGUACAGCUGCUGAGAAACUGAGUUUAGUUCCUCAUUGACACCUGGUAUCUCCUUGCUGAUACAGGCUGACACCCAGCCUGGCCACCUCUGGGUUCCUGAACCUCCUCCUCCUCCUCACACCUGCCUCCCCACCUUUCUGCAUCCCCCUGACAAGCAGCAGAGCCUGUUUUCCAGACCAUUUUAAGGAUUUAAGGACUUAACCUUUCCUCUCUGCUCUUGUUCCCAGAUUUUUCUCCAGGCAUUUCUCACCUUGAGCCUGGAUUACAGCAGCACGCCCGGCCCCACCAGCUGUAGCCUUGCCUCCUUCACAUUCCCACGGAAAAGUCCUCCUCUUGGCCCAUCACCGGGGUCCGUUGUCAUCCUGCCUCACCCCCCUUUUGAUCUCACAGCACCAUGUCACCAAAGGCCAGUAAUGUCCAGGGAAGAGUAAAAGAAUUGAAUGCA
rnacentral:lncRNA from 1 species